GAUGAACGCUGGCGGCGUGCCUAAUACAUGCAAGUCGAGCGAACGGACGAGAAGCUUGCUUCUCUGAUGUUAGCGGCGGACGGGUGAGUAACACGUGGAUACCCUACCUAUAAGACUGGGAUAACUUCGGGAAACCGGAGCUAAUACCGGAUGAUAUUUUGAACCGCAUGGUUCAAAAGUGAAAGACGGUCUUGCUGUCACUUAUAGAUGGAUCUGCGCUGCAUUAGCUAGUUGGUACGGUAACGGCUUACCAAGGCAACGAUGCAUAGCCGACCUGAGAGGGUGAUCGGCCACACUGGAACUGAGACACGGUCCAGACUCCUACGGGAGGCAGCAGUAGGGAAUCUUCCGCAAUGGGCGAAAGCCUGACGGAGCAACGCCACGUGAGUUAUGAAGGUCUUCGGAUCGUAAAACUCUGUUAUUAGGGAAGAACAUAUGUGUAAGUAACUGUGCACAUCUUGACGGUACCUAAUCAGAAAGCCACGGCUAACUACGUG
rnacentral:rRNA from 1 species